GCCCGAGACGCGGAGCUCCUUGAGAGCAGGGCUGCUCUUCACCUGUGUCCCCUGAGGCGCCUGCGCUCUGCCCUGGAUGAUGGUCCCAGAUGGUGCCCAUAGAGCCGGCGCUGAGCCUGACCGAGUUGUACCCCGAACCUCCCCCCACACCUGCCAGGGGGAAGGGGUCACCGAUGUCUGCCAGGUAGCUGUCCCCAUCAGUCACUCAGCCCCACGGGCACCACCUGCACACGUCCCUCCGGGAAAGGACCCUGGGAGAUUUCUCCACCCCCAUCCCUCCCCCAAAAGUCUAGCCUGUAUGCUUUUUCUGUCUGUCCCCGUGUCUACCUCCACUCAAGAGCGGGCCCUCCCAGGACACGGCUGGACGUGCUGAUUUUGGGUGAACGGACAGGCCAGCCGUGAAAGGGUAAAUGUGCCCUAAAAAAAAGUCCUCGCAGGGUCAGGGGACUUUGUCUCCAGAAAAAUCUGGUCCUCGUCUCGGGGUUGGAGGUUCCCUGUGUCCCCAGGCAAAGGCACCAGCUGAACCCACAGAGCCCCGUGGGACACCCACAGUGUCGCAUUGCAGGCAGGAGGCUGGGCCGUGUGACUCACCCUGGCUUUGCCAGUGUGGCGGGGGGUGCAAGGGGGGCUCCUCGCUGGCUCGAGACCACCCUGUCCCCAAAGGAGGUUGGUCCCCGCACAGCCCUGCGAGAGAUGUGGCAUCCUGACUCUGUCCCGGGCUGAAGCUGUGAGGGACCAAUGAGAGGUUUUGUGGGGCUGGUCCUCUCCAGCCUUCCUGCAGCCCCCUGACGCUGCACCUGUAUCAGCCUCUCACAGACUUCACAUUCUGCCCACACUGCAAACUCCUGUUUGUGUCCUGGGGUUCGAAGAAGCAAGUGGGGGCGCCCAGGUGGCUCAGUCGGUUGGGCGUCCGACUUCGGCCCAGGUCGUGAUCUCACGGUUCGUGGGUUUGAGCCCCGCAUCAGGGGGGUUCUGUGUCUCCCUCUCUCUCUGCCCCUCCCCUGCUCGGGCUGCGCCCAUGUCUCUCUCUGUCUCUCCUUCUUUCUCUCUCUCUCUCCUCUCUUUCUCUCAGAAGUAAAUAUUAAAAAGAAAGCAGCAGCAAGAGUAAAAACCGAGUCUCCUAGUGCUGAAACGCAGGCUGGCCGCCCAGUGCUGUCCACCUCUGCCGGCGUCCUGGCUCUGGGGAGUCUGGUGCACGGGGCCUGUGCUGGCAAGGGGGUUGGCGCCACGGCCCUGGAAGCCGGGACUGGGCGGCAGGUCCCACUGACAGCCCAGGCCAUGGCUCUGAAGAACGCCCGUAUGGGAGAGCCUCUGCGGAGCACUGGCCUGUCCUCCGAGGGCCACUGUCCCUGCCCACCUCCCACCUGUGACCGUCUGUGGACAAGACUUCACCCCUCCAGUUCCUCAUUUCUGGCAACCAAGGAGGUCACCUCCACUGGGAUCCUGGAGUCUGUUCCUUAACGUGUGUCCCUGGGUGUGUGUUUCUGGGAAGAGGGUCCGGCGGUUUUCAUCACGUCCGUCCUCCAAGGCCAGACCCAGAGAGUUUGAACCUGGAUUAAGGAAACACUAUUUGCAUGGUCUCUCCUGACUUUCGGCACCCGCUGUGAAUGUUGGCAGGCC